CCUACGGGAGGCAGCAGUGGGGAAUAUUGGGCAAUGGAGGAAACUCUGACCCAGCGACGCCGCGUGCGGGAUGAAGGCCUUCGGGUUGUAAACCGCUUUCAGCAGGGAAGAAGCGAAAGUGACGGUACCUGCAGAAGAAGCACCGGCUAACUAUGUGCCAGCAGCCGCGGUAAUACAUAGGGUGCAAGCGUUGUCCGGAAUUAUUGGGCGUAAAGAGCUCGUAGGUGGUUCGUCACGUCGGAUGUGAAAAUCUGGGGCUUAACCCCAGACCUGCAUUCGAUACGGGCGAGCUUGAGUAUGGUAGGGGAGUCUGGAAUUCCUGGUGUAGCGGUGGAAUGCGCAGAUAUCUGGAGGAACACCAAUGGCGAAGGCAGGACUCUGGGCCAUUACUGACACUGAGGAGCGAAAGCGUGGGGAGCGAACAGGAUUAGAUACCCUGGUAGUCCACGCCGUAAACGGUGGGCACUAGUUGUGGGGACCUUCCACGGUCUCUGCGACGCGAGCUACGCUAUUAGUCGCCCCGCCGUGGGGAGACGAGCGCAGAAUAACUAACGAAGAAGUAGACGCGNGAGAGCGCGACGACGACGACGAGGGAGGAG
rnacentral:rRNA from 1 species